GACGAACGCUGGCGGCGUGCUUAACACAUGCAAGUCGUACGGUAAGGCCCUUUCGGGGGUACACGAGUGGCGCACGGGUGAGUAACACGUGAGUAACCUGCCCACAACUUUGGGAUAACGCUAGGAAACUGGUGCUAAUACUGGAUAUGUGCUCCUGCUGCAUGGUGGGGGUUGGAAAGCUCCGGCGGUUGUGGAUGGACUCGCGGCCUAUCAGCUUGUUGGUGGGGUAGGGGCCUACCAAGGCGGCGACGGGUAGCCGGCCUGAGAGGGUGACCGGCCACAUUGGGACUGAGACACGGCCCAGACUCCUACGGGAGGAGGCAGUGGGGAAUCUUGCACGAUGGGCGCAAGCCUGAUGCAGCAACGCCGCGUGCGUGAUGACGGCCUUCGGGUUGUAAACCGCUUUCAGCAGGGACGAAGCUUUUUGUGACGGUACCUGCAGAAGAAGCACCGGCUAACUACGUG
rnacentral:rRNA from 1 species